CGAAAAUUCACACGGCCCACCAAAUGAGUUUUGGAGUUGGGCUCUAGCAGAUUGCAGUCUGGGCCAAUAUUUCCUUUGGGCUUCAAAAAAAAUUUAGACUAAUUUAGUGGAAAUGAUACUAGCUAGCCACUUUUAAGCAUGUUGUUUAAAAUAUAUCCAUAGUUUAUAAUGUAAUUACAUAUUAAUCAAUUUCGCUCAAAUUUCAGGACACUGCGUCCUAUAAUUUAAAUCUCAAAAUUCAAACUUCAGGACAUCAUGUUCUAAAGUUCGAAUCUUAUGUCCUACAUUUUAAAUUAGUAGUUUAAAAAUUUGGAAAAUUUAAUUCUGAAUUUCAAAAACUCAAAAAUUCAGGAUGCAGGCAAAGUUGAACUUUAUAUGCCUACAACUUAGUCGAAGCUUGGGUUAAUUGACUUAUUUUUAAAUAUGUUAUAAAUUGCAGACAUAUUUUAAAUAAUGGAUUUAAAAGUGACUAUUGACGCACUUCGCCUAAUUUAUGCAAAUAUCUAUAUUUUAAUUUACAAAAUUUUAUAUCAUACCCAAACGUUUUCUCAUAAAUUUUCAGCUUGUUCAAAAGAAAACUUUAUCCCAUGUUUAAAAGGUCCAUCAGUGUAAGAAAAAUAUAAGUAGGAUUAUUUAGGGGUAUUUGCAUCUAUACUUAUUUUUUGGAUCACGUUUUCACUUAUACCUACUUUGCAAAAAAAUUUGCAAGCGUACCCACUUUUCGAGUAACUUCAGGCAUACGAGCCUGAAGUAGCAAUGACAAUCACGCAAACUUCAGCAUUCUGGUAGACGGGCUUGAAGUAGCAAAAAUUGAUGAACCAAAUAUUGGCUAAAGUUAUUGUUUGUAAUUAUUGAACUUAAUCAUUCUAGUAGCUGAAGUUUUGUUCUCUAUUUGUUAAACUUCAACAUGUUUUAGUUGUAGUUUUGUUCUAUAUUUGCUGAACUUCAAGAUUCUUAUAGCUGAAAUUCUAAAACAACAAUGACUAGUUGUCAUUAAGAAGAUCCCGUUACUAUAAUAAAAUUAUGAGGAAAUUUGAAAAGCAAUACUCAUAUAAAACAAGACCAUUUAAAAGCAACAUCUUCACCUAAUGCACAAAGAAUCAAGUUGUGCUUUCAUGUUUCAGUAGAAAUUAAAAUUAGAAUUUUCAAAUUGGACAGUCCAGAAGCUAAUUCCUAGCUGUAAAGAUCUAAAAUAGCAAAUAUAAGUUAGGCUAGAACACAUAAUGAUAUCUCAAUCUUCAAUAUUUAGAAAACGAAGGAGGAGGAGAAAGAGGUCUGAAGUGGUUAAAACAGUGAGUACACGUUAAAACUUUUUGAAAAGGUAGGUAUAGGUUAAAUAGAGGCGACCAAAUAGGAUGCCCCUGAAAUUUUUACGAUUAUUUACCAUACGGUUGACAUAAGAGAGACAAUCAACGAAAAUUUUACCCCUUAACGUAUGUCUAGCGUGACGACCUGGCCAGUCGUCUCAUGAGUUACCGCUCUAUUUCCCUCAAUUUUUGAUUCUUUAUGCCUUGUUAUCGUGUUUUGUGGUAUCGGGUUGGUUGGAUCGAAUUCGGAAUGAUUUUUGGUAAGGUUUGAGACACUUAGUCUCUUAAGAUUAAGUUGGAAAAGUUAACCAGAUGUUGACUUAUGUGUGAGAGGGUUUGGAUGUGAGUUCCGAUGGUUUGGUUAGCUUCGGGAGGUGAUUUAUGACUUAGGAGCAUGAUUGGAAUGAGUUUUGGUGGUUUGGAGUAGAUUUAGACUUGAAUUGGCGAAGUUGAUAUUUUGGCGAUUCCCGGUUGGUAGGCAAUAUUUUGAUAUAGGGGUCAGAAUGAAAUUUCAAGAGUUGCAGUAGCUCAAUUGUGUCAUUUGAGAUGUGUGUGCAAAAUUCCAGGUCAUUCGGACGUGGUUUGAUUAGGAUUUUGAUCAAAAGUGGAGUUCGAAAGACUUUAGAAACUUAAGCUUGAAUCUGAUAUAUUUUGGUUGGUUUGAUGUUGUUUGAGGGGUUUUGAAGAUUGGUACAAGUUUGAAUAAGGUUUGAGAUAUGUUGGUUCCUUUGGUCGAGGUCCCGGGGGCCUCGAGUGAGUUUUGUAUGGUCAAUUGGACUAUUUCUUGCCUUGGAGAAGUUGCAGAAUUGCAGGUUCAACUGUUGCAGAGAAUCCAUCUAUGCAAUCACAUAGGGGUUCCUGCGAUCACAUAGAAGCUUUUGAGGGGACAAUCUAGUUUUUCUUCGCGUUCACGAAGGUUGACUUGCGAUCGCAUAGAGUGGUGAAGUUGUUGAUCGCAAACACGUAGUGAAGUUCAUGUAGAGUUAAAUGGAACUGGGGUCUUGGCCUGAAUUUGUUCAUUACGAACGCGGUAGGCAGCCAACGAUCGCGUAGAGUUAGUCGCCUGGGAAUCACGUUCACAUGGUGUUUGAUGUGUUCUCAUAGGGUAAUUUUUGGGAGCUGAGAAUUUGUGUUUCGCGGCCGCGAAGGAUUUCCCGCGAUCGCAAUUAAGGAAAAUAGGCCUAGGCAGAAGGUUUAAAAGGUUGUCUUAUCCACGAGGAUUGGGUUUAUUUCUUCCAGUGUUGGUCGUUUUUUGAGCUUUUUGAGGGGGAAUCACUUGAAGGUAGGAUUCUUGGACUUAAAACUCGAUUAUUAUGUGAAUUCCACCUAAAAAAAUCAUGAAAAUUAAGCCAAAAAUUGAAGAAUAAGGGCUUGAAAUUGGAAACCUAAAUUUUGGGAUUUCAAGGGUCAUUUGUGGAUGGAUUUUGAUGUUUUUGAUAUGUAUGAACUCAUGGGGAGAUAAGGAACCUCUUAAUGUAAAAAAAUUUGAAUUUUGAGACGUGGGCCUGGACGUAGAAAAAGUUAGUGCUAAAGACCCAAAUAAUAUUGUUAAUUACAUGGUAAAGUUGCUGCAAUAGACAUAACCUUAUUUAUGCAUGUAGCGUCUUGAACCAGGCAAGGUACCAAACAACCUAAAACAAACAUGUUCAGACUGGGACGAGACUGACAUCCAUUGACAAACACUUGAAGGAACCACCUUUUGCUGCAUUAUAUUAACAGAAUAGCAAUACCAUAUUAUCGGCUAAAUUCCUAACAAUGUUAAUUCGUCUCAUUAGCAGGCCGAAACAAUAGUUGUAUGUGAAAUUAAAAGAAGCAAAAUAUUUCUAAGAUGACACUUCCGAGCUGUACCCAAAUAUUGACUUCUUGUAGUUAAUUGAUAGAAUAGCCUGCGAGACACUUGUACUUGUUCUGGUUUGUCAUCCCGGUCCCUACACUCCAUAAAGUUUUUCAUCUAGACACUUCAACUCAAUCAAAACAAGACUUUUAAACCCUCCGGAAUAGCGUGAUGCUCACUUGCUUGAGGUGAAUGGCAAAUCAGCAUCCACGUCAGAUUGUAUGCCAAAAUAAUAUUAUUUAAUAAAAUUUUAAUUUCUUAAACAAAAAAUAAAAUAAAAUAAGCAAAAAAUUAAAAUUAAAGAAAACUCCUCCUCCCUUCUUCAAACCCACUUGCCAUGGCUUCUGAUACAAGGAAAUGGUUAGUAAAGCAAGGAUGGAACGAUUCCUCCUCCCUUCUUUAAAGUCACCUGCCAUGGCUUCUCCACCUGCCAUGGCUUCUCCAACUGCCAUGGCUUCUGAUACAAGAAAAUGGUUAGUAAAGCAAGGAUGGAACGAUGGACGUGAGGACGAAGAAGAAGACUGACGGGGGUGGGGUCGUUAUUGUUCAGUCGUUGCUGCUCUUGGCUGUUAAGUAGAAGGGGUCGUUUGGGGUGGAAGAAGAUGGAUUUUAGGGGGUUUUCGCCGGUUCAGGCAGUCAUGGUGGUCGUUUGGCGGCGAGGCAGUUCGGCGAAAUGGAAACGCUGGCUGGUGUGGCUGGUCGCAUUGACGGCUGGCUGUGAGGUGAGGACGGCAGCGGCUUAGAGUAUUAGGGUUUAGUUAGGGUUUUUGUUUCUUGGUUUGUUGAUGAAGAUGGCAGCCAUGGUUUUUUCUUCAACUUCUCCUUUAGGGUUUUGCCAAAGGUUUUUUUCAACAUUGUUAGGUGAGGUGAGGUGUAUGAAGAAGAAGAAGAAGAAGAAGAAGAAGAAGAAGAAGAAGAAGAAGAAGAAGAAGAAGAGAGGGGGCAAAACGGAGGGGGGUAGGGGCUGAAGAAGAAGAAGAGGGGUGGGGUAGGGGGCAGAACAGGGAAGGGGGCUGAAGAAGAAGAAAAGGGGGUAGAACGAAGUGGGAUAGAGGCUGGUGUAUUCUUUAUCUAUUUUUUUUAAUUUUUAAUUUUUAAUAAAAAAAAUCAUCAGCUCACGCACCUAAUAUGCGUGUGAAUCACUUAUUUUGUCCAACUUAACCAUAUCAAUAUCAUAUAAAUUCGGUCAACGUUCAGAAGGGUUCAAAAGUCUUGUUUUGAUUGAGUUGAAGUGUCCAGAUAAAACUUCAUAGAGUAUAGGGACCGGAUAAAAAAUCAGAACAAGUACAAGUAUCUCUCAG
rnacentral:lncRNA from 1 species